rnacentral:rRNA from 1 species
AGAGUUUGAUCCUGGCUCAGAACGAACGCUGGCGGGUGGAUAAGACAUGCAAGUCGAACGGGACAACAUUUGUAGCAAUACAGAUGUUGUUUAGUGGCGAACGGGUGCGUAACACGUGGGGAAUCUGCCGAGAAGUGGGGGAUAGCUCGCCGAAAGGCGAAUUAAUACCGCAUACGAUCAGGGAAGACAUCUUUCCGACAUCAAAGCCGGGGCAACCUGGCGCUUCUUGAUGACCCCGCGGCCUAUCAGCUAGUUGGUGAGGUAACGGCCCACCAAGGCAAUGACGGGUAGCUGGUCUGAGAGGACGACCAGUCACACUGGAACUGAGACACGGUCCAGACACCUACGGGUGGCAGCAGUCGAGAAUUUUUCUCAAUGGGGGCAACCCUGAAGGAGCGACGCCGCGUGGAGGAUGAAGGCUUUCGGGUUGUAAACUCCUGUCAUUUGAGAACAAUGGCUACGCGUUAACUGCGCGGAGCUUGAUAGUAUCAGAAGAGGAAGGGACGGCUAACUCUGUGCCAGCAGCCGCGGUAAUACAGAGGUCCCAAGCGUUGUUCGGAUUCAUUGGGCGUAAAGGGUGCGUAGGUGGCGCCGUAAGUGGGGUGUGAAAUCCCGGGGCUUAACCCCGGGACUGCAUUCCAUACUGCGGUGCUUGAGGACUGGAGAGGAGACUGGAAUUUACGGUGUAGCAGUGAAAUGCGUAGAGAUCGUAAGGAAGACCAGUGGCGAAGGCGGGUCUCUGGACAGUUCCUGACACUGAGGCACGAAGGCCAGGGGAGCAAACGGGAUUAGAUACCCUAGUAGUCC